ACAAAUUAAUAAAAUGAUGACUCUACAGGAAAUAAGUGGGAGACUCAGAUAUCAUAAGUCAAGCACAGUGUGUUCCAGAAGAAAUGCCUGAAGUUUUUACAGAAACCUGGUUAGGGAGAGACCGGAACACAAUAUAGGAUACUGAAGCUAACAUCCACGGUAUUUCAGUGUGAGCUGUGAGUGGAUGGGAAAGACCUCGGGAAGACUCGCUGAGGUUGGAUCUUGAAGGAUGAGUAGGACUUAGAAAAUAGAAAGAAGGUGACCUCACAGGCCCAGAAGAGGAUUUGUAUGAAUAAAUCAGAGGAAAAGAAACUGAGGGUUGAAUUCUAGAUUUUUGUAAUUUCCUAUGUUUGUGGAUUGAAGCAAGUAUAUGUUCAUGACUGGGAUAAAUGCAAAAUAUUCUCUAAAGUGGUGCAUUUGCCCAAAUCCACUAAUCAAACUCCUCCAAGCCCUGGGAGAAAUGGAUCAGCCUGUCAGAAGAGUCUGAUGCCUCAAAUACUACCAGUGGAGGGCAGGAGGGGUAGGGGGCCGCUUCCUAGAACCACUCAGCAUCUUCAGUGCUUCCCACUUCUUCAGGUCUUCAGGAUGGACAUUGGGAAUGUCGACAUGGGGCACAGUCUUCUGAAGAUAUGUCUGAAAGGGGCUGCUUUGCAUCCUUGAGUGACUGUAGGCAGUUCAAGUGAGUGCUCUGGACCUUUUCUUCCUGGGUCAGUCACUGGGCUAAGUGCGUGCUUGGAAGCUGCCAGGUUCUGGACGGAGCUUUUGUUAGAAAAAUCUGUGUUAACCAACAAGUUCCUGGAAUUCUAUAAAACCUUGUGGAUUUGAACACAAACAAAUAGAAAAUGUCUAUUAUCUCCAAAUUAGCCCUCCUGCUGCGUUUUCAAAUGGAUCUGAAAUCCCCAUUUACAUGCUGCAAUGGUAAAAAGCCUCUCAAAGGUUAUUUGAAAUCUGAGCUGAUUGCAAACGGAUUGAUUUCCAGCAAAUGUGGCAAAAUGACCAAGAGGGAUUCAGGACAGCAUCUUACAUACUGUGAUGUUCAAUGCAAGGUCUUGGACUCGAGAUGAGAAUAAGGAUUCCUUUGCAGGUCGCAAACAUCCUGUGCUUCUCUGCCUCCCCCACCUCCUCCUUGCCCCACAUCUCCCCAUGCUCCAUGCCCAAACAAAUUACCAGAUGUUAGAAGAGGAAAGUUGGAGUCCUGCUGGGUUUAUUUUGCUUUAUUUGUUCUGGAUUUAGAUUUAAAACCUUCCAGUGGAUGAACUGUAUCGAGGGCUUUUCAUUUCAUA